ensembl:lncRNA novel transcript
GUAGCAUGAGUGCGAGCUUGAAAUUUGUAACAUGAGAUGAAAACUGGAGAAGCAUCCCUAAAAUAUAUGAACCAAUCUGCCUAGAAAUAGCUAGGAAUCUGAAGACACUUCGCACUGUUAUGCACCAGGAGGAUUGACUGUCUCUGUGGCUUGGAGGCAGUUAUACGUAGCAGCAGCAGCAGCAGCAGCAGCAAAAGUUAACAGGAGCCGGAGUCUGUCUUCAAAGAGCAGUCAGUAGAGAUGAAGAGUAGAUUACUGAUUCCAUAGUACAUGUCAGAUACUGCCUAGGGACUUCCUAAGUAGAGGUCAAGGUCCCACUGUUAUACAGUGUAUAAAUUCACAGAAGUCAGAAGCUGAAUGCAGUCACAAAGAGAGCAAAGCACUUUGUAAAGUGAACUCAAUACCCCCGUUGGGGCUCAGAAAACAGUACCCCAAAGUGAAGUCCUCAGAAGCAGCCCCAAAAGUAAAGUCUCUGACCUUCUCCUACCCUCCCAUCCUCUCUCCCUUCCUUCUCCACUGAGGCAAGAUAGAAACUAAAAUUCCUCUUCCCCAAGGAACCCCGCCUUUUUGUGUAACAGUUGGCCAUAAAGAAAUUAAGACCUUCAUUCCAGAGAGUCCUAUUGCAUGCCUGAGAGGGAGGAAGGCUGCACAGAGACGCCAAGAAGCUGGACAGUCCUUGCUGGGUUUCCCCACUCAGUCUUUAAGCAUUCGAUCAUACCCCUUCUGUCCAGUUGUAUUUUACAUGGCUGUCCAUACAUCAUUGAAUGUCAGUGUAAAAAUGGAUUGUUUUCCCUGUAUCUUUGGGUCUUUAUUCUGAAGUCUCUUUUAAAACUAUGAUCAAAUAAAUUUGUAUGCCUUUUCUCCU